GUGAAUCAUCGAAUUUUUGAACGCAAAUUGCACUCUCCUCGGAGAGUAUGAGUGUUUGAGGGUCAGCCUAUAAAAAAUCGCCCUCGUUGCUGUUUCGCGGUGGCGUUCGUUGGGAAUUGGGUUAUUUUAAAUCUCUUGGUUUUAAGCGACUUACAAUUUUCGUUUUGGUUCAGUGAACGUUUCUA
rnacentral:misc_RNA from 1 species